rnacentral:rRNA from 1 species
GUGGCAGCCGCCGCGGUAAUACGGAGGGUGCAAGCGUUAUCCGGAUUCAUUGGGUUUAAAGGGUGCGCAGGCGGAUACUUAAGUCAGUGGUGAAAUCCCGGGGCUCAACCCCGGAACUGCCAUUGAUACUGAAUAUCUGGAAUACGGUUGAAGUGGGCGGAAUGUAGCAUGUAGCGGUGAAAUGCAUAGAGAUGCUACAGAACACCGAUCGCGAAGGCAGCUCACUAAGCCGAUAUUGACGCUCAGGCACGAAAGCGUGGGGAGCGAACAGGAUUAGAUACCCUGGUAGUCCACGCCGUAAACGAUGAUAACUCGUUGUUGGCGACACACAGUCAGCGACUAAGCGAAAGCGAUAAGUUAUCCACCUGGGGAGUACGAUCGCAAGGUUGAAACUCAAAGGAAUUGACGG